rnacentral:rRNA from 1 species
CACGUAGGGACCAAGCGUUGUCCGGAUUUAUUGGGCGUAAAGAGCUCGUAGGCGGUCGUGUAAGUCGGGUGUGAAAUCUCCAGGCUCAACCUGGAGGGGCCACCCGAUACUGCUCGACUCGAGUCCGGUAGGGGAGUGGGGAAUUCCUGGUGUAGCGGUGAAAUGCGCAGAUAUCAGGAGGAACACCGGUGGCGAAGGCGGGUCUCUGGGCCGUUACUGACGCUGAGGAGCGAAAGCGUGGGGAGCGAACAGG